rnacentral:rRNA from 1 species
AGUGAAUAGAUACCCGGGUAGUCCAUGCUGUAAACGAUGGAUGCUAGCUGUGAUGCGUAUCGACCCGCGUCGUAGCGAAGCUAACGCGUUAAGCAUCCCGCCUGUGGAGUACGGCCGCAAGGCUAAAACAUAAAGGAAUUGACGGGGACCCGCACAAGCGGUGGAGCGUGUUGUUUAAUUCGAUGGUAAGCGAAGAACCUUACCCAGGUUUGACAUCCUUGGAAGUUCUGCGAAAGCAGAGUGUGCCUUCGGGAACCAAGUGACAGGUGAUGCAUGGCCGUCUUCAGCUCGUGUCGUGAGACGUUAGGUUAAGUCCUUCAACGAGCGCAACCCUUAUAGUUAGUUGUAUUUUUCUAGCUAGACUGCCCUGGUAACAGGGAGGAAGGAGGGGACGAUGUCAGGUCAGUAUCUCCCUUAUAUCUGGGGCUACAAACACGCUACAAUGGCCGGUACAAAGGGAAGCCAACCCGCGAGGGGAGCAAAUCCCAUCAAAGCCGGUCUCAGUUCGGAUUGUAGGCUGAAACUCGCCUGC